CAUAAUGUCACAUACAAACCUGAUGUGAACCACAAGAUCCUGGUCUUCAAGCCUGAUGACAUAAUUGCAAGAGGUGUUUGGGGGUCUUGGAAUGGUGGCAUCCCCCAUCAAGAGGUGGAGGGAGACUAUUUCUCCUCCCCUUAAACCUGAACUGACAUCAUGACAUUUUUGGCCAAUGGAAUGCAGCAGAGAGAUGGUACAAAUUCUCUGUCUAAGCCUCAACAUGCAUCGCACAUCUCAGCUCUUUUUUUUGAAGUCCUGUCCCACUACUCAUAUGAAAUGACCUGAGCUAGCCUGCUGGAGGACAAGAGAUCACAUGGAAUAGAGAUGAGCCAUCCCAGCGGAAGUUAUUCUACAUUAUCCAGGAACCAGCCAAUUUAGCAGCUGGCCUCAGACCCAUGAAUAAACUCAGCCAAGACCAGGUGAACAACUCACCUGGGCUUAGCACAAAUGUUGACUUGCAGAAUUAUGAGCUAUAUAAAUACUUGCUAUUUUAAA
rnacentral:lncRNA from 1 species